rnacentral:tRNA from 1 species
CAGAUAAUAAUUUAAAUACUUAAUAAAAAUUUAAACUUUGGAAGUUUAAUUUGACAUACAUGUCUUUUCUGA